CAAGUCGUGGGGCAGCAGGACUGUAGCAAUACAGUUGCUGGCGACCGGCAAACGGGUGCGGAACACGUACACAACCUUCCUUUAAGUGGGGAAUAGCCCGGGGAAACCCGGAUUAAUACCCCGUAAUAUUAUGAAGUGGCAUCACUUUAUAAUUAUAGCUCCGGCGCUUAAUGAUGGGUGUGCGGCUGAUUAGAUAGUUGGCGGGGUAACGGCCCACCAAGUCUGCGAUCAGUAACUGGUGUGAGAGCACGACCAGUCACGCGGGCACUGAGACACGGGCCCGACUCCUACGGGAGGCAGCAGUAAGGAAUAUUGGUCAAUGGACGCAAGUCUGAACCAGCCAUGCCGCGUGGAGGAUGAAGGUCCUCUGGAUUGUAAACUUCUUUUAUCUGGGACGAAAAAGGGACUUUCUAGUCCAACUGACGGUACCAGGUGAAUAAGCACCGGCUAACUCCGUGCCAGCAGCCGCGGUAAUACGGAGGGUGCAAGCGUUAUCCGGAUUCACUGGGUUUAAAGGGUGCGUAGGUGGGCAGGUAAGUCAGUGGUGAAAUCUCUGGGCUUAACCCGGAAACUGCCAUUGAUACUAUUUGUCUUGAAUACCGUGGAGGUCAGCGGAAUAUGUCAUGUAGCGGUGAAAUGCUUAGAUAUGACAUAGAACACCAAUUGCGAAGGCAGCUGGCUACACGAAUAUUGACACUGAUGCACGAAAGCGUGGGGAUCAAACAGGAUUAGAUACCCUGGUAGUCCACGCCCUAAACGAUGGAUACUCGACAUACGCGAUAUACUGUGUGUGUCUGAGCGAAAGCAUUAAGUAUCCCACCUGGGAAGUACGAUCGCAAGAUUGAAACUCAAAGGAAUUGGCGGGGGUCC
rnacentral:rRNA from 1 species